UCUCAAACUCCUAACCUCAGGUGAUCUGCCUGCCUCAGCCUCCCACAGUGCUGGGAUUAUAGGCGUGAGCUACCUCACCCGGCUCCCUGAAGUAUUUAAAACUCAGAGGUGGCUGGUCAAGGUGCCUCAAUCCUAUAAUCCCUACACUUUGUGAGGCCUAGGCCGGUGGAUCACUUGAGGUCGGGAGUUCAAGACCAACCUGGCCAACAUAAUGAAACCUCGUCUCUACUAAAAAUACAAAAAUUUAGCUGGGCAUGGUGGCCAAGUGCUUGUAAUCCCAGCUACUUGGGAGGCCUGAGGCAGAUGAAUCACUUGAACCCUGGAGGCAGAGGUUGCGGUGAGCUGAGAUUGUGCCAUUGCACACCUAAGCAACAAGAGUGAAACUCCGUCUCAAAAAAAAAAAACUCAGAUGUCUACCCUUGACUGGGCUUAAUAUUAGAGCCAACAAAAGAAAAAAUAUUUGUAGUCAGUAGCAUCAUUUUCUGUUUUAAAGUACAUUAAGUAUAAGUGAGUUAUAAUUACGAAUCUGGUCAAUGUUUUUAUCAGGCAUAGGAAAAAAUAAUUUUGAAUUUACAAAGAAUCUUAGGACAUUUGUGAUAAUUUAUGUAUAAAAUUAUUCUUCACCUGGGUGUGGUGGCUAAUCCUAGUACUUUGGGAGGCUAAGGUGGACAGAUCACCUGAGGUCAGGGGUUCAAGACCAGCCUGGGCACAAUGGCAGGUGCCUGUAAUCCCAGCUACUUGGGAGACUGAGAUGGGGGAAUCGCUCGAACCCUGGAGAUGGUGGUUGCAGUGAGCGAAGACUACCCCACUGCACUCCAGCCUGGGCAGCUUAGCAAGACUCCAUCUCAAAAAAAAAAAAAAAAAAAUAUAUAUAUAUAUAUAUAUUCUUCAUGUCAGAUUCCUCUUAUAUAUACUAUGUUUUAUGUUUUGGUCAUUUUAGCCCCAUAUAAAAAUAAUACCAAGUCAUAUUUCUUAAAGAAUCUUUAUAAUCUGCAUAAUGGGAUGGCAAAAUAGAAAAAAAGAUGUUUAUAAUAUAGGAGAAAGCCAAAUUAUGUUUGAGAGUUGCAGAUAAGGCAGAUUUUUAACAUUUUAAGACAAAUCAAACAUCAGUGUGGAUUUGGCCAAGAUUAAAUAUUUGCAUAACAUACACCUUCUAUUUAAUCAUGGGUUUAUGAGGAAUAUUUUUAAUUACAAAAGAAAUUGUUUCAUUUCAGCCUCUAUCAUAGACUCUUGAGUUCACUCAGUAUAACAUGAGAAAACUUUGCACGUUAAAAGUUUUGCUUUGAUUUCGUUUUCUUAUUUCUAAGCUUUUUAUUUUAUGCAUCUAGGUACCAGUAUUUUUAGGUGUUAGAUUUGUGGACACAAAAAUACACAUUUACAGAGUUGGCAGUUUGCUUUUUUGUUCUAAGGGGCAGAGCAUGAAGGCACAGCUGUUUGAAUCUGGUGGAGCAUAAUAUUCUUGAAUGAUCUGUUCUGGUGAAUUAUGAGUGUGUGUUUGGGUGGGGUUUUUUUUUUUUUUGUUUUUGGGGUUUUUUUGUUUUUUUUUUUGAGAUGGAGUUUCACUCUUGUUACCCAGGCUGGAGUGCAAUGGCGCGAUCUUGGCUCACUGCAACCUCUGCCUCCUGGGUUCAGGCAGUUCUCCUGCCUCAGCCUCCCGAGUAGCUGGGACUACAGGCACGCACCACCAUGCCCGGCUAAUUUUUUGUAUUUUUAGUAGAGACGGGGGUUUCACCAUGUUGACCAGGAUGGUCUCGGCCUCCCAAAGUGCUGGGAUUACAGACAUGAGCCACCACGCCCGGCCCGGUUUUUGGGUGUUUUUUUUUUUUUUUGAGAUGGAGUUGAGCUCUGUCACCCAGGCUGGAGUUCAGUGGUGGUAUGAUACCGGCUCACUGCAACCUUCCACCUUCCAGGUUCAAGCGAUUUUCCUGCCUCAGUCUCCUGAGUAGCUGGGAUUACAGGUGAGUGCCACCAUGCCUGGCCAAUUUUUGGAUUUAUAGCUGGGAUUACAGGUCCACACCAUCACAGCCGGCUAAUUUUUUUUUUUUUUUUUUUUUUGUAUUUUUAUUAGAGACGAGGUUUCUUCAUGUUGGUCAGGCUGGCCUUAAACUCCUGACCUAAGGUGAUCUGCCUGCCUCGGCCUCCCAAAUAUUUUUAGAAUUUUAUUUAUAAUUCAAGACCAGGCUCAUCUUGAACUCCUGGCUUCAAGGGAUCCACCCACUUGGGCCUCCCAAAGCGUUGGGAUUGUAGGUGUGAGCUACUGCUCCUGGCCACAUUAUGAAUUCUCAGUAGGAAAUAUUUGAAGACUUGGAAAAGAACAAUAAAAAGUAGGCUGCCAAUAAGAAAUGUUAAUUAAAUCACAAAUUGACCAUGACUGUUACAAUAAAAUGUUAAGUGUGCAGACUUGUGAAUCAUAGAGUUAAUACAUUCAAAUUCCAGAUCUGCCAUUUAUUCAUAUGACCCUGAACAGUGUCUUAAUCUAAGAUCUUCCAUUUUCACCUGUAAUGGAGAAAUAAUCUAAUAGCAAUACCUACUUAGUCAGAUUGAGGAUUACAUGCAGUUGCAUAUGUGAAGUGUCUAGUGCUCAGUAAUUAAUACCUAUUACAACAAAUGAUUUCUGAAUUUUUGUCUUUAAUGUCAGGUCAAUACAGUGCAAAGUUACUAAAAUAUAAUUUUGGGAAGCCAAUAACAUGGAUAUAUGAAAGUAAUGUGUAUAUUAUAGCAUGCAGAUAUCCUGAGUUAGUGAAGCGCAUGCUUGAACCUCAGUUUUCUAAAUUGUCAGGUGGGGAUAUUAGUAUCUUAUUCCAUAGAGUAUUUUAGGAUUCUGUAAGUUAAUAUACCUGGAACACAACUUAGUAUAUAAUAAGUGCUCAAUAGAAUCUGUUACAAUACUGUUACAGUCCAGCAUCUUUGAUACUAGAGGUAGAGAUUAAAGGAGUUAGAGUAGCUCAUGGGUGGUAUCAAAGAACUCUUGGGGUGUAUGGGUAUGUGUGUGGUGUUUGUUUGUUGAGAUGGAGUCUCUGUCACCCAGGCUGGAGUGCAGUAGCAUGAUCUCAGCUCACUGCAACCUCUGCUUCCCGGGUUCAAGCAAUUCUUCUGCCUCAGCCUCCUGAGUACUUGGGACUACAGGCUCAUGCCACUAUGUCCAGCUAAUUUUUGUUUUUUUUUUUUUUUGGUAGAGAGGGGAUUUUACCAUAUUGGCAAGGCUGGUCUCGAACUCCUGACCUCAUGAUCUGCUCACCUCAGCCUCCCAGAGUGCUGGGAUUACAGGUGUUUUUAUCCUUAUUAAAUUAGAGAUUUAUAAAAUGACAUUACUUUUCUGGAAUUUUUUCCUGACAGAUUAAAAAUCACAUAUUUGGCCAGGCACAGAGGCUCACACCUGUAAUCCCAGCACUUUGGGCUGGCAGGUGGAUCACCUGAGGUCAGGAAUUCGAGACCAGCCUGGCCAACAUGAUGAAACCCUGUCUCUACUAAAAAUACAAAACUUUACCAGGCAUGGUGGUGUGCACCUGUAAUCCCAGCUACUUGGGAGGCUGAGGCAGGAGAAAUGCUUGAACGCGGGAGGCAGAAGGUUACGAUGAGUCAAGAUGGCACCACUGCACUCCAUCCAGCCUGCGUGACAAAGCAAGACUCUGCCUUUAUAAAAAAAUUUUUUAAAAAAGACAUAAGAUAUUUUUUGAGAUGGAGUCUCGCUCUAUCGCCUUGGCUCACUGCAACUUCUACCUCCUGGGUUCCAGUGAUUCUCCUGUCUCAACCUCCUAAGUAGCUGGGAUUAUAGGUAUGCAUCACCACACCUAGGUAAUUUUUGUAUUUUUAAUAGAGACAGGGUUUCACCAUGUUGGCCAACCUGGUCUCAAACUCCUGACCACAAGUGAUCCGCCUGCCUUGGCCUCCCAAAGUGCUGAGAUUAUAGGCAUGAGCCACCUCGCCCAUCUCCGAGAGAUUUCUUGGAAAUCUCUCGGGCACGUAUGAAAAGUUGGAAUUUCCUGGAUGUUUUGUUGAUAGUAAAUUUGAACAUUCUGUGGUAGCGUGGAUUAUAUACAAAUAAUUUGAACUUGAUUGAUUGUUUUUUCAUAUUUUACUUUUAUUUUAAGCAUUAUUUAGUUUCUCUAUACUACCGGACUGUACUUUUUGGAAAGUUCGAAUAAGUCAGUAACAAAGGAUUGAGUUUGUUUGAUUAAAUCUUUUCUUGAAAGAAGUAAGUCUUAGAACUUUUAGAUUAUAGGCAACUAUUUGGAUAUUAUGGUGUGGGUUGCUUCCAGAUUUGAGCCUGGCAGUUCUAGGUUAGUGCAAUGUUAGGUGAAUUAAAAGCCUGCUGAAAGUACCCUCACUGUAACUCUCCAUAGCCAUCUUUUUAUUAAAGAUUUUUCUUGAGUUAACAUAAUUAUUCUUAUGAGCAACUAUCUUUUUGGUGAGGGUUUUUUGGCUUCUGAUUAUAGAAUGAUUAGCAAUUAACAGCUUUUAAAAAAAGAAUUUCUCAUAGCUUGCUUUAUUUGAAGUAUUUCAGGCCGGGUGCGGUGGCUCACGCCUGUAAUCCUAGUCAUUUGAGAGGCUGAGGCAGGCAUAUAAUUUGAGGUCCAGAGUUAGAGACCAUCCUGGCCAACAUGCUGAAACCCCAUCACUACUAAAAAUACAAAAAUUAGCUGGGCGUGUGGUGCACACUUGUAAUCCCAGCUACUCUGGAGGCUGAGGCAGGGGAAUUGCCUGAACCCGGGAUGGAGAGGUUUCAGUGAGCCAAGAUUUGUGCCACGGCACUCCAGCCUGGACAAGAA